rnacentral:ncRNA from 1 species
CCGACCGUUCCAUCAGUCGUUCCCUACCCGAACAUGCGAAGUUGGCAACGACUCCGUGUGGAGCUUCGAGGACAACGUAACCACCGGGUGACCGGUCCACCGAACCGUGAGGCGAAGUGGAAACUGCCAGCACAAAGGCGGUGAGGUGC